rnacentral:lncRNA from 10 species
CAUUCUGGGUUCUCACAAAUAGGAGGAGGAUGCCACUGGCAUCUAGUAGGUCAGCGAUGCUGCUAAGCAUCCUGCAGUGCCCAGGACAGCCCCACAAAGACUCAUCCAGCCUGAAUGUCAAUAGUGCUGAGGUUGAGGAGCCUUACUUUACGGGAACUAGGCAGGAGGAGUCUGUAUGCCCAAGGACGUUGGUCAUUAUCACGUGUCCACUUCAGUACAGCACUACUCAGAGGCAAUGCUUUUUGGGUAACGGAUUUUUCUCUUAACAGGUUCUUCAUUUUGAAAAUGUCAAAGAUGUACCCUUUGGAUUUCAAACAGUAACAUCGGAUGUAAACAAACUUAGUUCCUUUUACUCACUGAAACUAAUCAAGCGGCUCUACGUAGACAAAUCUCUGAAUCUUUCUACAGAGUUCAUCAGCUCUACGAAGAGACCGUAUGCAAAGGAAUUGGAAACUGUUGACUUCAAAGAUAAAUUGGAAGAAACGAAAGGUCAGAUCAACAACUCAAUUAAGGAUCUCACAGAU